CAGGAAUCUUUGCGAUGUACGGCCGAAACAUUCAGCAGGAAGAGAAACAAAUGAGAGUUUAUCGCGUCUACUUUCGCCUUCUGCCCCGGCUCACCCUUCUCUUCUCCAUCCACCCGUCUCCGCCAGCAGCAGCUGAGAGUUGACAGAAUCAUACGUGGCACCAAUUACCCCGGUCUGGGCCCGUCAGCUGGAGGAGAGCAGAGCCGGAGGAAGUCAAAAGGACGGCUGAGCGUCUCCUCUGUGGGGUCGGAGGCUGAUGCGCUGACGGGGACACACAUCUCUGAUCCGGAGAGUCACUGUGUGUGUGUGUGUGUGUGUGUGUCGCUGACAUUAAGCCGAUACGGAGGUCGACGUUACCACGUUAGCAUUGCCAUUUUUAGCUUUUAGCGUUGCCAUUCACAUAUACCUGUAACAUGUCAGACCGAACCCUACGAGAAAACAAGAGCAG
ensembl:lncRNA